AUACGGAGGGUGCAAGCGUUACUCGGAAUCGCUGGGCGUAAAGCGCGCGCAGGCGGCUAUUUAAGUUGGAUGUGAAAGCCUACGGCUCAACCGUAGAACUGCAUCCAAAACUAUUUAGCUAGAGUGUGGGAGAGGAAGAUGGAAUUAGUUGUGUAGGGGUAAAAUCCGUAGAGAUAACUAGGAAUACCAAAAGCGAAGGCAAUCUUCUGGAACACUACUGACGCUGAGGCGCGAAAGCGGGGGGAGCAAACGGGAUUAGAUACCCUAGUAGUCC
rnacentral:rRNA from 1 species